CCUACGGGAGGCAGCAGUGAGGAAUAUUGGUCAAUGGACGGAAGUCUGAACCAGCCAUGCCGCGUGCAGGAAGACGGCCCUAUGAGUUGUAAACUGCUUUUGUACAAGGGUAAACAUGAAUACGUGUAUUCAGCUGAAAGUACUGUAAGAAUAAGGCUCGGUUAACCCCGUGCCAGCAGCCGCGGGAAUACGGAGGAUCGAAGCGUUAUCCGGAUUUAUUGGGGUUAAAGGGUGCGUAGGCGGAUUGAUAAGUUAGAGGGGAAAAGUCCGAGCUUAACUCGGGUACUGCCUCUAAUACUGUUGAUCUAGAGAGUAGAUGCGGUAGGCGGAAUGUAUGGUGUAGCGGUGAAAUGCUUAGAGAUCAUGCAGAACACCGAUUGCGAAGGCAGCUUACCAGUCUAUAUCUGACGUUGAGGCACGAAAGCGUGGGGAGCAAACAGGAUUAGAUACCCGUGUAGUC
rnacentral:rRNA from 1 species